rnacentral:rRNA from 1 species
GAUAAACGCUGACAGAAUGCUUAACACAUGCAAGUCGAUGAUGGGAGCUAGCUUGCUAGAAGAAGUCAUGGCGGACGGGUGAGUAACGUGUAAAGAACUUACCAUAUAGACUGGGAUAACAGAGGGAAACUUCUGAUAAUACUGGAUAAGUUAGUAGUAGCAUUACUAAGUAAUGAAAGGUAGCAAUACGCUAUAUGAGAGCUUUGCAUCCUAUUAGCUAGUUGGUGGGGUAAAAGCCUACCAAGGCGAUGAUAGGUAGCCGGCCUGAGAGGGUGGACAGCCACAAGGGGACUGAGAUACGGCCCUUACUCCUACGGGAGGCAGCAGUGGGGAAUAUUGGACAAUGGAGGCAACUCUGAUACAGCAAUUCUGUGUGGGUGAAGAAGGUUUUAGGACUGUAAAACACUUUUAGUAGGGAAGAAAGAAAUGACGGUACCUACAGAAGAAGCGACGGCUAAAUACGUGC